AUGGAUUGGGGCUUUGCCAAGAAGCACCGUGUUCCCCUUAAAACCUGUGAGGUCACACUUCAAACUAAAGCACUCAACAGCCAGCCACUCAGAUCCGGUGUGGUGGACACCUGGACCAUUCCACUCCAGCUAGAAACGGGAGCAUGUCACCAAGAGGUACUGACCUUUUUCCUGAUCAGGGCCCCUGACACUCCGAUGAUUCUAGGCUACCCCUUGUUGACGCGAAACGAUCCAGUAUUCCGCUGGAGCACUAAUGAACUGGUGUCUUGGGGAAAGACCUGUCAGUCUUUCUGUUUGACUCUCCCCUGCUGUGCUACUUCGGUUGAGGGUGUGGAGGGCCCUCCCCAACCGGAGAUAUCCCCAGAAUACGAGGACCUGCGGGAAGUCUUCAGCAAGGCCCGAGCAGCCGAAUUGCCUCUGCAUCGACCCUGGGACUGUGCAAUUGACCUCUUACCAGGUACCACACCGCCCUGGGGCUGGGUGUAUCCUUUGUCUUUGCCAGAACAAAGGGCCGUGCAGGAGUACAUUAACGAGGCUCUCGCUUCAGGCAUUAUCAAACCAUCCACCUCUCCGGCAGUGGCUGGUUUCUUUUUCAUCAGCAAGAAAGAUGGGGGUCUAUGGCCGUGUAUCGACUAUCGGGGGUUAAACGCAAUCACGGUCAAAUAUCCCCAUCCAUUGCCCUUAAUCACGGCCACCUUGGAAGGCAUUCAAAGUGCUACCCGGUUCACAAAGUUAGACCUUCAAAGCGCGUAUAACUUCCUCAGGAUCUGCGAGGGGGAUGAGUGGAAGACGGCGUUUUCCACCACUCUAGGUCAUUAUGAGUAUCGGGUUAUGCCGUUUAGCUUAGUAAAUGCUCCCUCUGUUGUCCAAGCAUUCCUAUCCCAGAGGCAAGGGGACCCACCGAAGCUAUAUCCCUGUGCCUUCUUCUCUCAAAAGAUGACCCCGGCAGAACGGAAUUAUGAUAUCGGGAACCGGGAGCUCCUUGCCAUCAAACUCGCACUCGAGGAGUGGCGACAUUGGUUGGAGGGGGCUGUCCACCCAUUUCUGGUGCUUACAGAUCACCGAAACCUUGGGUACCUGGAAACAGCUAAAAGGCUAAACUCCUGCCAGGCUCGCUGGGCUUUAUUCUUUACCAGGUUUAAUUUCACUGUGUCCUAUAGACCAGGUUCGAAGAACACAAAGGCUGAUGCCCUGUCCUGA
rnacentral:lncRNA from 1 species